GGGUGGGAAAUGUCCCUAAAGUUCUCAGCUUAAAAGAUGAAAAUGAAACUCCCAGGAGGGUAUGACUCCCAUACCAAAUUGUACCCUGGGUUAUAAGUGGUACCCUAACUCAUACCCUAGGACUCACCAUGGACCCCUAAGCUAUCAAAGAUAUGACCUGACAUGCAUGACUGAUAUUCUAAGGUAUGAGUAGUACCCUACAACCCGUACCCAAGUUAGAAUGCUUUGGCCAAG
rnacentral:lncRNA from 1 species